rnacentral:rRNA from 1 species
GACGAACGCUGGCGGCGUGCCUAACACAUGCAAGUCGAACGAGAAUCUAUGGAAAGAGGCUUCGGCCGAUAGAAAUAGAGGACAGUGGCGGACGGGUGAGUAACGCGUGAGCAACCUGCCCUUCGGAGGGGGACAACAGUUGGAAACGACUGCUAAUACCGCAUGACGUCGAACUAUGGCAUCAUAGGACGACCAAAGAUUUAUCGCCGAAGGAUGGGCUCGCGUCUGAUUAGAUAGUUGGUGAGGUAACGGCUCACCAAGUCGACGAUCAGUAGCCGGACUGAGAGGUUGAACGGCCACAUUGGGACUGAGAUACGGCCCAG